AUUGAACGCUGGCGGCAUGCCUUACACAUGCAAGUCGAACGGCAGCACGGGAGCAAUCCUGGUGGCGAGUGGCGAACGGGUGAGUAAUACAUCGGAACGUGCCCAAUCGUGGGGGAUAACGCAGCGAAAGCUGUGCUAAUACCGCAUACGAUCUACGGAUGAAAGCAGGGGACCGCAAGGCCUUGCGCGAAUGGAGCGGCCGAUGGCAGAUUAGGUAGUUGGUGGGGUAAAGGCUCACCAAGCCAACGAUCUGUAGCUGGUCUGAGAGGACGACCAGCCACACUGGGACUGAGACACGGCCCAGACUCCUACGGGAGGCAGCAGUGGGGAAUUUUGGACAAUGGGCGCAAGCCUGAUCCAGCCAUGCCGCGUGCAGGAUGAAGGCCUUCGGGUUGUAAACUGCUUUUGUACGGAACGAAACGGCCUUUUCUAAUAAAGAGGGCUAAUGACGGUACCGGAAGAAUAAGCACCGGCUAACUACGUG
rnacentral:rRNA from 1 species